AGCGAACGCUGGCGGCAGGUUUAACACAUGCAAGUCGAACGCCAUCUUCGGAUGGAGUGGCAGACGGGUGAGUAACGCGUGGGAACGUACCUUUUGGUUCGGAAUAUUCUCGGGAAACUGAGAGCAAUACCGAAUAAGCCCUUAGGGGGAAAGAUUUAUUGCCAAAAGAUCGGCCCGCGUUAGAUUAGGUAGUUGGUAGGGUAAUGGCCUACCAAGCCUACGAUCUAUAGCUGGUCUGAGAGGAUGAUCAGCCACAUUGGGACUGAUACACGGCCCAAACUCCUACGGGAGGCAGCAGUGGGGAAUAUUGGACAAUGGGCGCAAGCCUGAUCCAGCCAUGCCGCGUGAAUGAUGAAGGCCUUAGGGUUGUAAAAUUCUUUCAACGGGAACGAUAAUGACGGUACCCGUAGAAGGAGCCCCGGCUAACUUCGUGCCAGCCGCCGCGGUAA
rnacentral:rRNA from 1 species